CUCUAACAUGUUCCACAGAAAUCAAUUCUCUUAGAAAACCGAAUUUUGCUUUGCCCUUUAAAAUAACAGUAAAAAUAGCAUUUUGGAUAAAAACUUUUCGAAGGAGGACUUAACAUUUACUAUUUCCCUGUUUCCUUAGAUACGUAUACAUAUAUACAACAUACCUUAAUUUUCUUGAUAACUUAAGCAAUUACUGUCACUGCAGUAUUGCUUGCUGGCAACUUUAGAUCUGUGAGACUAUUUGCUUCUACACUUAAUGCCCCAAAUACUCUGUUUUCUCAGUUCUUUUUGCUUUUCAGUAACUUUUUAGUUUUCUCCAUGCUGGCCUAUCCCUUCUUGCUGCUAUUAUUGCGUCUACCUCUAAUACACUUCUUUUAAUCUACCACAGGCCAGGAAAUUAGACAGAUUUGUUUAAAUUGUAAGGCAAGUUUGUUAAUUGCGUAAAGUAAAAGUUGAGUGGCUCAUCUAGCAGAAGGACUGAGUGGGCUCAUCCAGCGGAAGGUUUGAGUGGCUCAUCUGGCAGAAGAUCUCACAAGUUUUAGAAAGGAUUUUUUUUCCUCCGAUUUUUUUUUUUUCGCGGUACGCGGGCCUCUCACUGUUGUGGCCUCUCCCGUUGCGGAGCACAGGCUCCGGACGCGCAGGCUCAGCGGCCAUGGCUCACGGGCCCAGCCGCUCCGCGGCAUGUGGGAUCUUAGUUCCCUGACCAGGGAUCGAGCCCACGUCCCCUGCAUUGUAAGGCGGAGUCUCUACCACUGGACCACCAGGGAAGUCCCCUCCUUUUACUUUUAAAGGCGUAUUUCUGGAGUAUGUUGCCCAGAGCUAGGGAAGAGGCUGUAUGGCUGAGGAAAUGUUCUCGCCCAGAAAUAAGCAAAACGACACUGAAAGCUUCUACAAAUUAAGAAAUAACGAUUGAAGGUCCAGGUGGGUAGGAGAAAUUCAGGCACUGUUUAGACACAAAGGAUUUCUGACAAUGAUAAGAAAAAACUGGCAACAGGAAAAAAGUGGUUCCCGCUGCUAUACACUCACAGCUUAAUUUAAAAAGAAAGAAAAGCAAUGGAACAAAAUUGAUUUUUACCAGCUACAGAAUAUUUUACACAACCAGAGAAGAAAUGAAUUAGUGCCACCCCGCCCAUACAAUUUUGGUUAGAAUCCCAUUUUGCCAACAAAGCACAGGUACAUUAAUUAUUUUAAAUAUUCCGGAUGGCUGCUUAGCCUUAAGGUUCUAUAGUAAAGGUCAAGCAAGGGUGGAGAAGACAAGGCCACCAAAGAACACGGCUAAACCCUGCUUUUUCCGGACGCGCAGGCUCAGCGGCCAUGGCUCACGGGCCCAGCCGCUCCGCGGCAUGUGGGAUCUUCCCGGACCGGGGCACGAACCCGCGUCCCCUGCAUCGUCAGGCGGACUCGCAACCACUGCGCCACCAGGGAAGUCCCUCUUCUGGUUUUGUGUGUUCAGAGAUGAUACUGUUGCUUUCUGUGAGUAUGGCCAUGCUAGGGAUGGAUGAAUAAAGGUGCUGAACAAAUAACUUCUGGAUUCAUUCAUUCAGUAAGUAUUUCUUGACCACCAGCUAUGUGAGGAGCAAUGUUCCAGGCACGGGUGGUACAGCAGUGAGUUGACGAAGUCCUUGCUCCUACAGGGAAUGAUGAACAGGCAAACAACACACGGGCAUAGGACUUCAGAUGGCCACAAGAGCUUGGAAGAAAAUAAAACAAGGGGUGAUGAGGGGAGGGUGCUCGAAUGAGUGGUUUAGUUUGUGUGAUGACAGAAGGUGACCUCAGAGUUAAGCCUUGAGUGACAGACAGGAGGCAGCCACGAGAAGGUCAGGGAGGGAAGGUUCUAGGCAGGGUUAGCAGAAGAGUCCCCUGUGCCUGCAGGGUCACUGGGGAGCAUAAGUUACUGUGAGGCUUACUCAGAGCUAUAGGCAGGGCCAGAUCACACAGGGCCUCUUAGUUUUCGCUAAGGAGUUUGAAAUUUAUUCUAAGUACAGUGGGGAGCCUUUGGAGAGUUUUAAGCAGGAGAGAAACACAGAAAUUAAGGGAAGGGUGGGUGUGUUUUUGAAGCGACCUCCCUACAGUUACUCUGCAGGUUACAGGUUUGAAUCUGCCUCCCAUUUCCUAAUUUUGUCAAAGAAGCCUUGAGGCACACAGCUUAACCCCCUCUGAACACCGGGGGCUCUAAUUUUCUUCAGGGUCCUUUAGUUCUGAAAUGUAGAGGUUUGAUGAGGUCCUGCGGACACAGACAGGUGAAGGGGGAGAAAACUCCAGUUACUUAAGGAUUUGACAUUUCCCCAGAUGAAGCUGUGUUCUCAUGAUAGACAAUAGAGUAGAUCUUUUCCAUAUUUGUAACAUCAAAAAGUUAAACUUACUGCAGUGCAUAGAAUUUAUGAUUUAAAUAGAAAAACUCCCCCCCCCCUUUUUGAGCAUUACAAAAUGCAUUGCACGUAAUAGGUGCUCCAGAAAUAUUUCUCAACUUUAGAUUAUGGCAAAACCACACUAAGUGACCUUCUCUUUUACCAGUUCCUUCUGUUCUCCCCUCAGGUGCUUUCAUCCUUCCGAUUCACAUCUGUAGGCAGUGAACUGUGAGGCCAUCCACGCCAGGGACUUGGCAAGAAAGGGGUGGUUGGCACUCUUGGAGUCCCUCCAAAGUAGAAUAGAAUUUUGAACUAUCUUUGGGGUCAUAAAUUUAGCCUAGUGGUGUUUCUAUGAAAAUGUAUUUCUCUUGUGGCUUAGACUAAUAUUUAAGGAGUUCCUGGGUGGCCCCAUAGCCAAAGAAUUACAGUAGUAUUUCUGGCUGAGCUUGGUGACCUAGUUUUCUGGAUCUGCUUUGUGAAUAAUCUUUAUGAAUAAUGACCCCCAAUAGCAGUAACUAUUCUCCUAAUGAACCAGCUUUACUCCAUGCUUGAAACAACCUCUAAAAUAAAUUUUUUCUAUUUAAAUAAAUCAGUCUACUUUUCAUGCCAUUUUAGAAAGCUCAUGGCAAAACUCUUUCCCUUCUCAUCCUCGAUCUGUUUUACUAAAUGAGCUUUUCCUUAUAGUUCUCUGCAAACUGCUCUCCUACCACCUUUAUGCUGUUUUGUGAGCCACUGAGGACCGGCUGCCUUUGUUUAUUGUGUCGUCUUGUUCGCAGCUUCUGGAGCCCUUUGAGAAAAAAGCAUCACAUGAAUCCAGUUAGAAGUAAUGGCAGGAAUUACACUGUUGACUACCUGUGGCAGGCGAUGAUGGCAACUGAACAGGGCUGCUUUGGGAGGCGUUGCUAAGAGACGCAGAGAUGCAGGAAAGGGCCCUGCAUGCCGGACCAGUCAGUGAAUCAGAAGCUGUUUCUCGCAGGAAGCAGGGGAGGCGGAUUGACUCUGGGACGAUUCUGUGAAUGAGCAAAUGUGCAGGGACUGUAUCUUGCUGUAGACACGAAGGAUCCUGCUGUUUGGACAGCAAAUCGAAGCAGGUCGUCCAGGCUGGGAGCAGGCCCCUGUGACUCCUGAACAAAAAUGACGUUUAGAAAUCUGUGACGCUAACAACAUGUCGGUUCACAACAGUAACGUGUAGAUUGGCUUUCCUGCCUCUUUCCCGCCCAGACGGAAUCGUUACGAUUAUUAAGACCUCUGAGGCCUCUUAAUCACGAAGACCAGCCCAAGAACUUGAAGCACUCAUUUCCCUCCCUUCACAACCUCACUGGGCCUCACGCUGCUGGUGAAACAGUCUUUGCCUUCUGUUAAGGGCAGGAAAAAGACAAAAUAAGUUAUUCCUGACUGUAGCAGGCAUCAGAAUCCAUCAACAUGCUCAGAGAGAGGGCCAUUUCUUUCUUUUGUUAAAAUCACAUUAAAAGCUAGCUGCAAACCUCAGCUAUUGUUCCUCAGCUAUGCUCAGGGCUCCCUGUCUGCUAACUUUGGGCCAAGGAUCCAGAAAGGUCAUGACAGGAGAAGUUAAUGAAGUCUUGCCCUCACAUCUGUCCUUCAACACGUGGUCAGCAUGAGCACAGCCUUGAAGAGCUGCCCCAGGGCCCCGACUCUGGUGAGAGGCCGGCUCUGCCUGCCCCUUCCUCCAGGGUGGCCUUGGCACAAGCAUCCUCUCCUCCUCUCCCCAGACACGUGUUACCGCUCUUCAGUGUGUCUAACUGAAGGGAAGGGUCCUGAGGAGACCUGUGCUCCUGACACAGAAACCUCCGUGGGCACAAGUGUGUGUUAAUAAAGUAUCCUGCCACUCAAAAUGUUUUGAAGAGGUUUUUAUUGUUAGACCACAUUCUAAAAGUAAAACACUUAAGCCAGGUGUACCUAGAGUUAAAAAGAGAGUUAAAGAAAACUUGGAUUUUACAAAAACGUAUUGGAUAAAACUCUAGUGGUUCUCUGGGUUUAAGUUUGCUUCGUUAGUUCCAGUGUCCUUUUUAUUUAUUUUUUUAAGGAGGGUAUACCAACCUUUAUUCAUACUUGGGUUCAGGUUCAGAGGUAUCUCAGAAUAUAUAGCAAAGCAGGAAAAAGCACAGAUUCUGGGAUCAAGUCUUAAAUUCCAAAGCAAGCAUAUUAACUGUGUUACAACAGGCAAAUGUUACCCACAGUUUCUUCGGUAAAAUGGGGGGAGCAUCACCCCAGCUUCCAGCAUCUGGUACAGCUGCCUCCCCUCCCACCUCAGCUCCCUCACGGGCAGCCCGGCUGAGAGAGCACAGCUCUGCAGGUCUCAGCUCUGCUGGUCAGGCUGGGACUUGGUGAGUCACUGAGACUCUGAAGUAGCCCCUCACCCCAGUGUUCACCAAAGGCAAAUAGGGGCUCGUGAACUGGUACAA